CUACGGGACACUGCAGUGGGGAAUAUUGGACAAUGGGCGAAAGCCUGAUCCAGCCAUGCCGCGUGUGUGAAGAAGGCCUUCGGGUUGUAAAGCACUUUCAGUGGGGAAGAAAGCCUUGGGGCUAAUACCCUCGAGGAAGGACAUCACCCACAGAAGAAGCACCGGCUAACUCCGUGCCAGCAGCCGCGGUAAUACGGAGGGUGCGAGCGUUAAUCGGAAUUACUGGGCGUAAAGCGCGCGUAGGCGGUCUGAUAAGCCGGUUGUGAAAGCCCCGGGCUCAACCUGGGAACGGCAUCCGGAACUGUCAGGCUAGAGUGCAGGAGAGGAAGGUAGAAUUCCCGGUGUAGCGGUGAAAUGCGUAGAGAUCGGGAGGAAUACCAGUGGCGAAGGCGGCCUUCUGGACUGACACUGACGCUGAGGUGCGAAAGCGUGGGUAGCAAACAGGAUUAGAUACCCCGGUAGUC
rnacentral:rRNA from 1 species